rfam:Danio rerio chromosome 1, GRCz11 reference primary assembly.
AGCCACAGCCAGAUCACCCUGCAGCCCAAGACCGGUUACUCACUGAAGCUAAGCAGGGCUGAGCCUGGUCAGUACCUGGAUGGGAGACCAAACAGGAAAGCUAGGUUGCUGUUGGAA